UACAUAUUCAUGUUCAACACUUGGUAUUUUGUAACGAAGUGUACUUCUUUCAUGAAAUAAACAUGAAGAUAGUCUUUUUCCCAAGCUGAAUUUUAGCGAUUGGCUUCAUGGGUAUUUCUUUGCAAGUGUGAAAACUACAGGAGUUCAGCUGCAUUUUCAAACUUCUAUGCUACUAUCUUGAGUAAUGCGCUCUUAUCAGAGAUCCUACAGGUAUCUGAGGAGGUGCAGUAGUACUUUAAAAGCAUUUGUUUCUUUAGUGAUGUGCAGUGCUAACAUGAAAAAGUCCCAUGCUUUGGCUUGAUAUGCUUUUCAUUAGAACUCCUUGGAGGUCAAAUGGUGCCAAAUUGGGUCCCAAAGGCACAGAACAGAAGAGUUCACUCAAGUUUACACAAUACAGAAAUGCUUUCUGCAUAUGGCUUUACGUCGAAUGCUUUGAAAUAUUUUUUCUCACAUAAAAUUCACCAUAAUUUUUUCAAAGCACGGUGACUUCUAAGGGGCUGGGUGAUUUAUUUUUUGUCCUGUACUUUUCCUUUGCUUUACAGAAUAUUUAAUUAUCAAAGGUCCUUCUGUUAGUGUGCCUUUUGAAACAAGUUCAGGAUCCUUCUGACAGCUGUCAUUUUUUAUACGCUGCUCCCCAUUACCUGCAGCAAAUCUCUGCUGCUCCAGCUUGCUUUUCUCUGAUCGUACUCAGGCACGAGAGGAGGUGCAGCCUUCCAAGCCCGGUCCUUGCAUUUUUUAAGGAAGCCAGAUGGUGUGUGCCACAUGUAAUUUGUGUCAGAACUGACUAACUCUGCACUGCUGCAGCAUUUUUUUUUCAUGUAUGGUGGAUCUCAUCUCAUAACGGUUGAUGUAUUUCACAGCUGUCUUGGUUAAAGGACAGUAAAAAAAGCAGCAGGUCCUCAGUCGCAGAGACUCGAUAGGAUAAGACAGCUCUGUCUUAUGCUAGCACUAUACAAAUAGCAUCUACUUCAGUAUGGUUAACAUUAAAUUCUCCUUGCCAUACCAACACAGACAAUUUUCCUGGGAGAUGGAAGGUGAUGCUACUUUGCUCCCCCUCUAGCACCUCUGGGGAUGUUCAGCACCUGCGUUGUGCUCUGGUUAAUCACAGCACAGGCAUAAAAGUGAUUUGUUUCAAUUGAUCAGAAUCUAUGAAAUUAAGCUAUGUUUCUGUGAAACAUAUCGUUUGAGUCUGUAGUAUGAUGGAUGAGAAUUAGUUCCAUUGCAGCUGAAAAGACCAUUUUAUAAGACAGUGAACCACAACAAAGGCAGAAGUAUGGGUAGAAUACAUAGUUUGCUUCAAUGCAGAAGUCGCAUCGAGGCACAGUAUUUUCAUAUGUGACAGCAUCCUUUUCAGAGGAAAAAGCAGAAAGAUUAAACAGAGGGAAUGUUGUAACGUGUUUAAUCCGCUAAAGUAGGCUCCUCUCCUUGAUAAGACGCACUUUGAUGAGAAGAAUUUGAGAUCAUUUCAGAUGAUAGAAGGUGAAAUGUUCAUGGCAGAGACUACAAAGCAGCACUGUUUCUUUUGCAGGUGCUUGAGCAUCAGUGUUUAUUAGUCGUAUAUCACAGGAAAGUCCAUUUGGGUAACAUAAAUAACCUAUUCCAUGUUUGAAAAAGCAGAACAAAGUUAUGAAAUCAAGAUGCUGAUUUUAGCACUGCUCUGUGGUACAUUUAGCAUGCCCCCAUGCAGACUAGCAAGUAUGUUUUUUAGUUUCAAUCUUAUCUGAACUUAUUAGAUGAAACAUUGCAUUUUUUGAGCAACCUUACAUUAUCUCGACUGUAUAAAAGAUUAAGAGCCUGUGGGGUUGUACUGAGUAGCUGAAACAUUUUUCUACCAGUUUCAGUGUUACAGUCGAAUACAGUGCACUGAACUUUGGUUGUCUUGCUUUUGUUCCACACAGAGAUAAAUUCUCUAUACUGUUGUCCUCUUUCCCUUGCCCAAACAGAAAGCUUCCCACUGUGCAAGGAUAUAUCAUAAAAGAUGACAAUAUGGAAUCCCUGCUUUUGAAACGUUUUAUGAACUCAUAACUUUAUAGCAGACUGGAAGAAGCAAAAGAGCACAUGAAUACAUAACUGUUGAUAGAAUCAAAAAUGAAGAUUUUAACCCUGUAAUCUUUAUUUCACUAUACUGUUGAAGUUAAUAGGUGUUACUCCUGGUACUUGUAAAACAGUGUGGCGAGUUGUUUUAUUAUUCAUAAAGUUAAUGAAUAAGUAACCACAGAUUCUUAAUCCUGUUUUAUUCAAUCCCAGCCAAUACCUGUAAUUUUUAUCAAAUUGUGAAUUUGGCGUUCAGUACAUCUGCAUUUCCAUGCUACCUUUAAAUCUUGUUUGUGUGUUUAGGGGUGUGAAGGACUGUGCAUGGGGUUAGUGCUAUAGAUGGGUCGCAUAGGACAGGGAGGCUGUACAUGUAGGUGGUUUUCUAGCAUACUGAUAGUUCUGAGGUCUGACUGUGAUACCAUGAAACGUCAGGAGCCACUACAUCAAAACACUGCAGUAGAUUUUAAUUUUGGUGUGGACUUUGUAAAACACUCCUGUGGAGGAAGUCAGUUACACCUGCAUCUACCUGGCAGAAUGUGUUAGUACCUCUUGCCUAGCUGUACCUUUAUCUGCGUAUAUUUGGGUGGAGUAGUUGUAUAUAAAAAACAUACACACCCACACAUAUUUUUAUUUGAAGAAUUGAAUUGAGAACAUUUGUGUGGAAUGAAAUUAGAUCUUGCUUCCAAAAAAUCUGUUUUUAAAUCUUACGGCUUUGUUAUGGUUGCAUGUUUUAUGUUACGUGAAUUAUGUCCUUUAAUGUGAAUAUCUGGAAGAUACAUUCACCAUCGGAUUUAACUUGCAUUUUGGAAUGUCCACAGAAAAGGAAUCAGCAGAGCAGUAAUAAAACCCAGGCAUUUACUAAAUUUCUUUCUGACACAUCUGUGAGCAGUAAAGAGAUGCAGGGUUUUACCAGAUCCGAACAUUCUAUCAUAAGGGAAGCUUUACAAGGGCAGGAACAACAGCACUUUGAAAACAUUCCCUGAAUUGCCACAAACUCAAGACUUACUACUGGAAUCCUUAGAUAAAUAUAGAAUGAAAUUUCUUAUUGCAAGGCAUGUCGAAGUAAAACAAACACGCUUUCAUAUACAGUUUUUUUCCACCUCAGAGGUAUGUCAGGUGACAUAGAGGCACGUUAAUUGAAGUUGAUGGUUAAAGGCUUGAUUUCCAGGCUCUGAGUCACUACAGGUGCAUCUCUUUGUGGUUAUUGGUAAUGACGGACUGAGGUUGUCAACAUAGCAGAAGAAGACAUCGUGGAUAUACAAAAUCUGUGUUUCUGGCCUAUUACAGCUUCUGUAUUUUUCUCUUUAGCUUAGCAUCUCACAGAUGCUGACAAGUUAAUUUAGAGUUGGUGUCUGUUUCUUUUUUCAACAGUAUUAGAAAAGGAUGUUAAUCAGAGCAGCAUCAAAAGACACAGACGUCCCCUUAGUUUGUAAAGCUUUAGUUCUGCAGUCAUAGAUAAACUGUGCUUUCACUACAUGGGAUGAAGAAUGCUGCAUUGAUCAUGGGGUAAAAUUUAUUGUUUUGUUGUUUUUAUCUCUGCUUAAUGCCCUGAAAGCAUAUUCAGUCUUUCAGUGAAGUUUUGUCUGAUGCAGGAUUGAAAAAUAACAUUACAAAAAUAAAAAAGUGUAUUGCAGUACGAAAAACUUUCCUGUUUUUCAGCCACAUCACUACCAACUACACUUACUGAAUUGAAUUUGGAGUGAAUCUGCACAUGGAAGGCUUUCUCUCUUCCUUUGCUUUUGUCACUGGGGAAGCCAAAGUAUAAGAAAAUUACUAGAGUGUUGAUUCUGUGCCCAGAACGUUUAAAUUCACGGGAUGCCAGGAAAAUCAAAUAUGCACAUCAGCAGGAUACCAACAGUUGGUCAGAUGGUAAAAUAGUUAGCAGUUUUUACCAGCAAGUCAGGCUGCAGAGAGGGUAGGUUUUUUGCUUCUUAUGCAAAGAUCUUCAGGCUGUAUCUAUUCACGUACAGUUUCUGAACUCGAAGGCAGAAGGGAUUUUAGCAUGGGUAUUAUUAGACUGGAAGUAAGUCAUACUGGCACAAAAUAAGUGAGAUUAGAAGGGGGCCUACAGGAAAACUGGAGAGGAACUUUGCAUAAGGGCGGGUAGCGACAGGAUGAGGGGAAAUGGCUUUAAACUCAAAGAGAAUAGUUUUUGACUAGAUAUUAGGAAGAAAUUCUUUACUGUGAGAGUGGUGAGACGCUGGAACCAGUUGCCCAGAGAGGCUGUGGAUGCCCCCUCCCUGGAAGUGUUCAAGGCCAGGCUGGAUGGGGCUUUGAGCAACCUGGUCUAGAGGGAGGUGUCCCUGCCUAUAGCAGGGGAGGUGGAACUAUACAUGGUCUUAAAGGUCCCUUCCAACCCAAAUCAUUCUAUAAUUCUGUAAUAGACAAUAAAUGUUAUAUUUGAGGGUGAUGGCUCAUAUCUUCAGUAUGAGGUGCUUCAAUUCUUAAUGGCCUUUGAAGCUCAGCCUGUUGCUUUCUUUCUGGUGUGUGGGUGCUUGUAACAAGGACCUGGACCUGAAGUGACUCUUUAGGAGCAAUGCUAGAAACCAGGUCAGUCUGCUUUGUUAGGGAAGAAUAUCUAAGAAGGAGUCCUUCAAAAGCUCUAAGUAAAUUAUUUGAAAAGGAGUUUUGCACUAACAUUAGGUAAAAAAUUAGGCUCUAAAGUUGAGGUUAUAUCUUGUUUAGUUUUGAAGAAGACAAACUCUAAAACUUUUUUUUUAGUUUCCAUAUUGAAGUCCACCAAAGUAUCAAAGGCUAAUUCCAAAAAUUUGUAAGCAAUUAUGUGGUGAUGAUAUGAUAAAUAGAAAAUGUGACUUAACUUUGUGAGCAAUAGAAGGAGGAGGUGAACUCCUGUGUUUGGUUUCCAGGUUGGUCAGGGAGAAGUAAUUGCUGUGAUGCCUAAAUUAGAAAUCAGAACUCUGGGUUUACUGUGCUUAACCUCAGCUACACCCAUGGUGUCCUCACAGUGACCUCCCCAUUUGCUUAUGAAUAAUAACUCAUCAAGGAGCCAACUGGACAUUUUAUUUGGAAUUCUUUAAUAUAGUGCAGUUAGAAGCUUCAAAGCAACCACUAAAGAAAGCCGGGCUAGUAAUACCAACCGCAUGGAGAGGUGGUGUUUCUGUUAAAUGUACCUUCAGGUAAUGAGGCAGAGCUUUUUUCUAGUAAGGAUUCCUCAGCUCACAUCUUUUCUGUCCAGAAUAAUCCUCAAUUCUCAAAGAUUUGCAGUUUACCUGUGUGACUCCUGCAUGUUACUGAAAAAAUGUUCUUUUUAAUGCCUAAAAAUCAUAGCUUGAAUGGGAUCAUUCUUGUUUAAAAUGGGGAAAAAAGAUAAUCUAGCUGAUUUUUGUAUUUUCUGUACUUUAUCAAAGAGCACCCAUGCUGGGCAGCAUGCUGAGCAUCUUUUGAAGGGUCUUCAGGUUCUUCUGAAACGAGCAGGAACAUGGGGAAUUAGUCCCCUUUUUAAUGUGCCACCAAGGUGAUGAUACUUUCCUUGCUUUUUUGAAGUGCUGAAUACUGCUGUUCAUUCCUUCCGUGCCAGAUUUAAAACUAUAUAACACUUAAUUCAUCAGCAGAUCGAUGCUCUUGAAGGCCAAGGCCAUCUAAUGUUAUAGUAAUAACGAAGAGUCCUUUUGUGGUGUGUGGAUGAGUUUUAUUUUAGAUUAAGAUGGGUGCUGACGUCUGUUGAUGUUUACUGAGAACAUAAAAAAGAAAGAGGCUAAAUAUUUUCUAGCACUGUGCCUACCUUUGGCAAUAGGAAGGCAAUAAGAAACUUCCCAGAUGGUGUGUAGCUCCCACAGAGUACAGGCUGAGUUUAGUCUUCUCUGGCAGCAAGAGCCCUAGAAGAUUCAGAGAUACUGAAUAUGUUCUCCAAUAUUUAUUUUUUUUUUUAGAUAAACAAGAAAGUGUUAAAAUAGAUGGCAGAGCAUGGUUAAGCAACACUGCAGGAAGACAACUUCAGACUACUUGGCCUUUGAAAUCCCCUAGGAGCUGUGCUUUAGAAAACUGGACUUCAAUAUGCCAUAGCAAUGCUGUGGUCAGGCCCUACUCAAUCAGACGCAGCUGGAAAAAUUCCUAUUUAAUUCAAGUACCAAAAAUAGUUCAACGAGCUGAACACAUAACAAGUCAGGCAUAUUUUGGAAAAGUACUCAAAAAAUACCUAAUAUAACAUACCAGCUAUGUAUUUA
rnacentral:lncRNA from 1 species